UCCGAGUUGACCCCGGCAGUCUCCUGAGAGUGCCCGGCAUUACCCGGUAGCAACACAGGACAAGGGUUGCGCUCGUUGCGGGACUUAACCCAACAUCUCACGACACGAGCUGACGACAACCAUGCACCACCUGUAUACCGACCUUGCGGGGAGAACAUUUCUGAACUUUUCCGGUAUAUGUCAAGUCUCGGUAAGGUUCUUCGCGUUGCGUCGAAUUGAACCACAUGCUCCGCUGCUUGUGCGGGCCCCCGUCAAUUCCUUUGAGUUUCAACCUUGCGGCCGUACUCCCCAGGCGGACAACUUAACGCGUUAGCUGCGACACUGGGAGGCUUACCCUCUCAACGUCUAGUUGUCAUCGUUUAUGGCGUGGACUAC
rnacentral:misc_RNA from 1 species